UACAGGGGGGGCAAGCGUUGUUCGGAAUUACUGGGCGUAAAGGGUUCGUAGGUGGCCACCUAAGUCAGACGUGAAAUCCCUCAGCUUAACUGGGGAACUGCGUCUGAUACUGGGUGGCUUGAGUGCAGGAGAGGAAUGCGGAAUUCCAGGUGUAGCGGUGAAAUGCGUAGAUAUUGGGAAGAACACCGGUGGCGAAGGCGGCGAGCUGGCCUGUUACUGACGCUGAGGCGCGACAGCGUGGGGAGCAAACAGG
rnacentral:rRNA from 1 species